rnacentral:rRNA from 1 species
AGCGGCGGACGGGUGAGUAACGCGUGGGUAACCUGCCUCAUACAGGGGGAUAACAGUUAGAAAUGACUGCUAAUACCGCAUAAGACCACGGUACCGCAUGGUACAGUGGUAAAGACUCCGGUGGUAUGAGAUGGACCCGCGUCUGAUUAGGUAGUUGGUGGGGUAACGGCCUACCAAGCCGACGAUCAGUAGCCGACCUGAGAGGGUGACCGGCCACAUUGGGACUGAGACACGGCCCAG